UUAUUUUGGCCUUUUGGCUAAGAUCAAGUGUAUUAUAUGUUCUUAUCAGUGUAAUAAUUUUUAAAAAUGUCUUCUUUUCUGGGGAGGCUGACUGAAAAUUUUCCAAAGAUUUGUUUUUCUAGCUUGGAUAUUCUUCCUUCUGCCUUACCGUGUUGGUUGUUAAAUCUUCCCACC
ensembl:snRNA U2 U2 spliceosomal RNA